GCAGCUUUAGACGUCAUCAGGCUGCGCCUCUCGUCACGCGUUAGCAGCAGCAGCAGCAGCAGCUCAGGUGUGCCGGGUUUUGGCAGGUGUGUCGGUGAGGAUGUCGGUGUUUCACGACGAGGUGGAGAUCGAGGACUUUGAGUACGACGAGGACACGGAGACGUUCCACUUCCCGUGUCCCUGCGGGGACAGAUUCGCGAUCACGAAGGAGGACCUGGAGAACGGUGAGGAGGUGGCGACGUGUCCAAGCUGCUCUCUGAUCGUCAGAGUGAUCUACGAUAAGGAGUUGUUCAUGUCCGGAGAAGUGGUUGAAGCUCCGUCAGAGUCCAGACUGGAGCUGCUCCAGUCCUGAACGUUACACCGUUAAACCACGGAAUGCUGCUUGUUUAUCACAGCGAGGCGUUCAGGUGUCGCUGGGAAACAUCGAUCUUGAAGAACAGGAAACUGGAGUGACGUUUUGAGAAGAAAAUUCCACAAAGACGAGGAGAACUUUGAUCUAGAUCAAUCAGAAGAGAGUUUUUAGAAGAAUGAACGAUGACGAUUCAUCGAUGAAUAGACAAUUUCACCAAAGGAUGAAAGGCAAUCAGCUGUAGUACCUGGGUGAUCCACCAGGUGGAAGAACCAGGUACUACAGUUGAUGAACACACACAACCUUCUCCUUCUUCUGGCUGAUAUAUUUUUAAACGGAUAAAUAUUUAACUUCAUGUUAAAAAUUGAAAUGGAAGAUGAGGGAUAAACAUGUCAUAAAAUGCGGUGUACAUCAGCUGCAGUACCUGGUUGUUCCACCUGGUGGAGGAAGGGGGUCGUGCAUGUAUGAAAACAUGUUGUACAUCAGCUAUCGUACCUUCUUCUAGUCCUUUUUUUUAACGGUUUAAAAACUUUAUUCACCAAUAAAGCAAAGAAGAAAGUCGUGUAUGUCCUUUUUCCACCUGGUGGAACAAGCAGGUACUACAGCUGAUCUACGUAACAUUUUCUAACAUGCAUGACCUUCUUCUUUUUCUGAGUUAUUGAUGAAUAUAUUUUUAAACAGAUAAAUUAACUUGUUUUUCGAUCAGCUGUAGUACCUUUUCCUUCCACCUUGGGGAGUUUAAAUGUUCUAACAUACACGACCUUCACCUCAUUGAUUAACAUAUUUUUAUUCUGUUAGCAUUUAAUAAAGCGAUGCUCAUGACCGCCCCUUAGAGGGCGCCCUGUUCUAGAGGCAGAACAACAAGGACACAUCUGGAAACCAAAGAUGAAGGCGGUGUCCAGAGUUUCAGCUUCUUCCUCUGACUUCCUGUUGCUCUGAACAGUCAUUUUUUAGACCCGGAAAAAGCCUCAGUGAAGGACUGAGUAAAAAUCUGAACAUUUAAAAUGCUCCUCUGUGAAUAUUUAUACUUUAUUUAAUGAAAAAUAAACUCAUCUGUCUGGUUUUA